GCCUUUGUCUCACUUCAGCCAGAGAGCGGGGUUAGGGCUUCAUUGCCUUGUGUCCUCUGCUCCGGGAGACUUCGGUGAUUCUGCCACUCCCUCCGUCGCUCUGUGACCUGCUGGCAUUGAAUGAUUUAUAGCUAAGACUCCAGGACACCCCUGAAGCCGAGAAAUGAAAUCCCAAGUUGACCGUCAAGUCCAACGCUCGCUGCAGACAUCUAGUGGACCCGGCGCUCGCGGACGGAAGCGGACAGACCUAGUUGGAUCCUUAUCCCACCAAUCUGGCCCACCUUUGCUGCCAUCUAACUCCGCUGACCGGCCCACCGUUCCUCCACUGUUCGCUGGUUGACCCGGGCAGCGGAGAGAGGAGGCGGCACCAACAGAAGGCUUCUGCAAAGCUGAGAGCUCCUUUUACCCAUGGAUCAGGAGCAGAGUUUGCAGCUACACUGUCAGGCUGUGUUUGGAUGUUAGCAGUUAGUUUAGCUUUGCGUCUUCAGAGCAAUUGUUCUUAGCUACUUAAAAAAAGAAAAGAAAAGAAAGGAAAAUUUAAAAUUUUCUUCAUUGAUCAUUCAGGAGCAUGUUUAAUUUCCAUGUAUUUGUACAAUUUCAAAAGUUCACCUUGUUGUUGACUUCUAGUUUUAUUCCAUUGUGGUCAGGAAAGAUACUCGAUAUAAUUUCAAUUAUUUUAAAUUUGUUGAGACUUGUUUUGUGGCCUAACAUAUGGUCUAUUCUGGAGAAUGUUUCUUGUGCUGAUGAAAGAAUGUGUUUUUUGCAUCUGUUGGAUGAAAUGUUCUGUAAAUGUCUCUUUGUUAGUCUAAAAUGCAGUUUUUUGUUUUUUGUUUUUUUAGGAGAGUCUCACUCUGUUGCCCAGGCUGGAGUGCAGUAGCAUGAUCUUGACUCACUGCAACCUCCACCUCCCAGGUUCAAGCAAUUCUCAUGCCUCAGCCUCCCAAGUAGCUGGAAUUACAGAUGCCCACCACCACACCCAGCCAAUUUUUGUAUUUUUAGUAGAGACAGUGUUUUACCAUGCUGGCCAGGCUGGUCUCAAACUCCUGGCCUCAAGGGAUCCGCCUGCCUUGGCCUCCCAAGGUGCUGGUACUAUAGGUGUGAGCCACCGCAUCCAGCCUAAAGUACAGUAUAAAUCUAAUGUUUUGUUUUUGAUCUUCUAUCUAGACAAUCUGUUCAGUGCUGAGAAUGGGGUAUUGAAUUCCCCAGCUAUUGUAUUGGCAUCUAUAUCUCCCUUUAGACCUAAUAAUAUUUGGUUUAUAUUAUAUAUCUCGGUGCUCCAGUGUUGGGUGCAUAUAUAUUUAGAAUUGUUACAUCCUUUUGCUGAAUUGAUCCCUUUAUCAAUAUAUAAUAACCUUCAUCUUUUUUUAAUCA
rnacentral:lncRNA from 1 species